CCUGGGCCCAGACCUGGUCCAUAAAGAGUUGGUCCCUUGAGGCCCACAUAACCUAGACCUCAAGAACCCGAAAGGCCCACAGCCUUUCAACCUAGGGCCCAACUAGCCCUAGAGCCUCCAUGAAGUCCUCAUGAAUGAUGGACCUUGGCCUUAGCCUUGAUUCCAUGUGCCUUGGGCACAUCACCUGGAUCACAACAAUCUCCACCUUGAUGUCCCA
rnacentral:lncRNA from 1 species